UAAAUAUAAUAUAAAUUAUUAACAUAUAAAUGUUAAAAUUUAUUUAUUAUUUCAUUUUAAUUAUAUAUA
rnacentral:tRNA from 1 species